CAGUCUUCAGGGUAUGCAGUAAAGGAUUAACUUUGCCCUGGAGAGGUUUGGCCCUUUUGCUCCCAGCUGCAGGGCUGUAAUUUCUAAGCCCUUGGAAUGUUCUGCCUGUAGGAGUGUCUUUGUUUACUGGAGGUCUUGAGCAAUACCAGAUAGUCUGUGCUUACAAUGUAACUUUUGGUGGGGGGGCCUUUGGACAUGUGGUACCACUCAAGCUCCAGAGGGGUUAGAGACUAAGGGUAGUCACAUGGGUGAACAGAAUGUCCGAAUGGCCAACUCCCAGUAAAAACUCUGGACAACAAAGCUUGGGUCCUAGACAGUGCAAUACACAAAAGAAAUAUGAGCUAUAAUUAUUGGAAUGAAGAAACUGUCAUGAUUACAGGAGAGGAAAAGGCCCAACACCUGCCUGUCAGGGCUCCUGGAUCACGCCCUGCUGCCUGCUGACCUAUAUUGGACUCGAGCCCUUCUUCUGGCAUGCUCACCUGUUAACCCACCUAUCAGCCCACACCUCUGACUGCUGGCUGCUCCCCAUUGAGCCUGAAAUACUGUGCUAUCUGCCUGUACCCUUUUGCAUAAGCUGGGGUUGGGUUAUCUCAGAUUUCUAUUUGGGUCAAGAUUGCCACAUACCUCACCUCUUCUGUUCUGGUCCUCAUCCUGUGUUCCUGGACAAAAAUAACAUUUGAGUAGAAAGCUUUUCUACUUGUUGACAUAGUUGAACAGAUUUUGCUUUAUUGAGAUGAAAUGGAGCCUAAAUUUAUCUGGAAAUGUGUGGAAUCAGUAGAGAGAAGUAAACACAACUCGAAGAAAGCGGGAAACCCCUGUGUACAAUUCAGCUUUUUCACUCCCAGGGAGUUGGGCAUGAUUGUAAAGAAUGAUGUUUUCAAGCCUGCCAAUAACAGAACACGUCUGUAUCCAUUGUGGAUGGGCUUCUUUGAGAAAGCUUCCUUUUCGCCCAAGUAGAGGAGCUCUUCACUGCCCUAAGAUUCUGCUUUCCUACUCCCAUGUCAGAGCAGGAAAAGGUGAAUAUUUUUCACACAGAAUAGCCUCAUCCAUUCCCACGGGGAGUGAGAUAGUUCCUGUAGGGUGCUAGUGAUGGCAUAAAAUUACAGCUCACUAGAGAAACAGUUGCGAGUAAAGAAAUAUAUACAUUUCCUCUAUUUGUGUUCCCUGUCUGUGUUGUCUAAGUUGCAAACAACAGACUCCACUUCAGCUAGGUUAAAGGGAAAAGAGGUUUAAUAAAGAAAAUUAAAUAGCUUAUAGCAUCACUGGGGAACUAGAGAAACAGAUUUAAGGCUAAGCUUCCAGAAACAUAUCCCAAAACAUGCCCCCAAACCGUGACACUGACAUGAAGAGACAGUUGUCAUUGCUGCUUUAUUGAACAGAGGACUGAGAAUUUUUCUACAGUCACUGCUGUUCUCUGCACUGAUGGAAGCCAAGCCUGCCUGGAGAACUCAACUUUGCAACCCAAAGCUGGUGGCUAAUGUGGCUACCCCUACCAACAAAAUGGAAACUCCACCAGGUGUCUGAAUCCAGCUCUCACGACCAUUUAGUGGAGCAGGAAGAAACUGCAGGCCUUUUGGAGGUAUUUCCUUGUGAUUCUGGUCCAAUCCACCACCACCGUCUCACGCUUAGAACCCUGCAAUCCUUCGUAAGUAUUUGUUCUGGAAUCCUGUUACUCUGUUACUAAAACCACUCCUAUUUCUCACCUUGCUCAAGCUUCUCAUCUCACUUAGAAAAAGGAAUUUUUACAAACAAAUCUUUCCAUUAGCAUCAUAAUGUUUUUCAUGUUUGGCUCUGACUCAGUUUCCUUUCACUUUCUGGGAGCCUUUCCUCACCCUCCUACCUCGCUCACUCUGCUGUGGCCCUACCACCUUUCUGUUACUCAAACUCGCUUUUCACCCUCCUGCUUGGAUGAAUGAGCAGAGUCAUUGCUUGUAGUGUCCCCUUU
rnacentral:lncRNA from 10 species